rnacentral:rRNA from 1 species
UCCUUCUCAUUUAGAGGAAGGAGAAGUCGUAACAAGGUUUCCGUAGGUGAACCUGCGGAAGGAUCAUUGUCGAAACCUGCCCAGCAGAGCGACCAGAGAACGUGUUUAUCAUGAACGGGGUCUGGGCGAAAGCCCAUUCCUCAAGCUAGGGAAUCGCUGCACCUCGGUGGGGCGUCCUCCCCGGCACAAUAACGAACCCCGGCGCGGACUGCGCCAAGGAACAUGAAUACAAGCGUGCCCUUCCGCAACCGGUUCGCCGGUCGCGGACGUGGCACCAAGUCGUAUAUAACAUUAAACGACUCUCGGCAACGGAUAUCUCGGCUCUCGCAUCGAUGAAGAACGUAGCGAAAUGCGAUACUUGGUGUGAAUUGCAGAAUCCCGUGAACCAUCGAGUCUUUGAACGCAAGUUGCGCCCGAAGCCUUUAGGUCGAGGGCACGCCUGCCUGGGCGUCACGCAUCGCGUCUCCCCCCACCACCCCGUGUGGAUGGGGAGGAGGAUGAUGGCCUCCCAUGCCUCACCGGGCGUGGAUGGCCUAAAUAAGGAGCCCCCGGUUACGAAGUGCCGCGGCGAUUGGUGGARUACAAGGCCUAGCCUAGGAUGAAACGGUAAU